GUUUAAGCGAUUCACAUACAUUUUCAUCAAAUGUGGUUCACCGCAUUGAACCGCAUUCACCGCAUCGCAUCGCAUCGUAUUUACUAUGUCAUCGGCCUUUGUCGCACGCCGCGUUUUCGUUGCCGGUCAAAAUUUGACGCCCCCAUUAAAUUAAGUGGCUGGCCUUUCAAGCUCUCCACAGUCUGCUUCAUGCCUAGCGCAUUCAAUUUGCUGAAACAAGGUGGUGGAGGAACAGCUGGGGGAGCUUCGGCCACAAUUUCAUGGGACCAUUUCUUCAAUUCACUGUUCUGAUAGUAGCGGAAUCUGAAUCUGAGACAGGAGCAAAACCCCGGCAGUGAAACAGUUUACCGCAACAUAGCCCUCAGCAGAAACAUCAACCCUCAGGAAAUUGCCGGUUUACAAGCAGUUCUUCUAGUGAUUAAAACUGCAGCUAUAACCCGGACGAAGUUGCUCUUUGCGAACAUCCCAAUUAGGCACCUCUGCAUGUUUUUAUCGGACUUAUUAACUGCUCGGUUGUGAUCCCACUUAAAGCAGAACACUUGCAGCGCUAGGAAAAAUCAAAGAGACUGCCCUUCAGCUUUGGAACAACCUUUAAGCUUCUCAAAUAAUGACCACCAUCCCAACGACCAGCAGUUGCGGUAAUCGUGGAACAGAAUCCGAACUGGAGGAAAUCGAAUCGAGAAACGAAACCUUCCCACUGACUCUGGGAAUGCUGGAUCUCCUCUACACGCUGUGCGAAACAGGAAUACCAAAAACUCUAGGGGCAGGACCCCGUAAACCCGGCCUUGGUAGCUACAUAACUUUCAUCAUCGAUGCAGUCUUCCUACGCUUUUACAAUCGUAACUAUAAAAACUCCACCAAAAAAUGGCAGAUAACUGAAAAAUCUCAUUGUGAAGAAAACUCCCCACUCGGUUUCCACAUCCUGCUACACAAGUCAACACCAAGUCCGACUUCCUUAGGCUGCUUUUGCACAUCAUCGACAAAGCCUGCUUCCUCUUUGACACCUUCACACCAUUCCCGGACGCAAAAAUCUCAGGAAAACCUCCCUAUAUGCGCUACAGAUCCUGUACCAGGCUCUCAAACAGGAAGAUUUCUUCAAUGCACUAGGCAUCAAUCCUAGCAGCGGCAAAGUGGACCACUUGCUUAACGUCAUCCGCUACGUUACCUUCAACUCGUUCCUUCCGAAGAAGAUUCCAAAAAAAUCUCACUUCCAUAAUGCGUCAACCGAACGUAAAUCGGCAAAUCCUAAGGCUGCUGACCCAAAAUGAGCGCACAAAAAAGGAAAUCCUUCAGGGUUGGUCAAGUAUUUAGAAAGCGAAGCAGUAAAAUCGUACUCGGUUGCUGAGGUUGCCAAAAAUAUGAUCAAUGUAGUUUUUUACUUGUUGAACCAUUACGAUAACAACAUACAACCAAUGGCAUUCCGGAAUUGGCAGCGUGCUGUCUUCGAUGCGUUUGCGACUCAUGUACUGCCUAACUUCGCUUUCGUCUUCGAUAGCAGCAAAAAUGCCUAUUCAUCCCUUCAGGUUCCGGCUGAUCCGGAAAAGAACAUUCACAGUGGAGUCUAAGGAAGCGCGGUCGUCGUUGAUUUGAGAUUCCUCAAAAAAUAUCUUCAAAAUGAAAAUUUGGAUAAACUUGGAAAUAACAACAACAAUCUUAACGAACCACUUCAACGGUGGGAGGAACUAGAACUCAACAACUAUCAUAAAUGCAUGGAGAUCAAUUGAUGGCCGGAUUAUUUCUGGGAUAAUGUACGCCGACAAUAGUGUGGUCAAACUGAGGCAUAUGGAGAGCAGAUGAAAAAAAAAAUCACUGUCCCAAAUACAGAUAUCACAAAAAGGUCCCCUUCUUGUGGGCCAUUCUGAAUUUAGAUGAACGAACAUCGCCAAAUAAUGUUCAGGAAUUUAAUAGCAGUAUUUUCCAAUUGUCCAUGUUACCAGUCAAUAUGAAUACACAUUACAAACAACCGAAUGUACAUCAACGCCAAUGGACGAGAAGAAGCGAACGGAUGCUAGCACCAUCGAAAACAUUUGGCUCAAGAUCAACGCUAAAGCUAAUGACAGCAAUCACGUCAUUGUAUCUGGAAACAAACCUCCACUGAUCUGUCGAAAAGUAAUGUUCGUUGGAGCUGACCUUUUACAUCCAUCGCCGGACCAGUCGAAUAUACAAGUGUCGUUUGUGUAGUGGCCAGUUACGAUCUGGAAAGAUUCCGCUAUAAUUUUUGCUAUUGUCUGCAAACUCCGCGGGAAGAAAUUAUCUGUGAUCUAGAAAACAUUGUAAACAUAAAAACAUAGAGAAUCAUCUUUAUAAUGGUCCAGAAGCGACAUCAGACGCGUUUUUUCCCGGCCGACAGGUGCUCAACCGAGGGACAAAACCUAAAUUCAGCAAAAGCAGUAAGUUUCGUCCCGUCAAGUUGGUGGUCAGGUAAACGAAUCGGAAGAAGCAACCACAAUCAUUUCCCGCAUCCGGUCCGAUUAACCUUGCCUGAUUUAUCGACGCGGCAUAGAAGUUUUUCCGUUGACGAUCACCGUAACUGCGGGCUGAACAACAUGAACAAGAACAAGAUUGAUGCAAUCCAGGAGGUCAACAUCACCCACUCGCACCAUAUUAGGACGCUCAAGCUGGUGGGUGCUAGAAGCACCAGAAGCCGGCAGUAUAAGCCUCGAGGGCAUCGGGACGUUGCAUGUGAAAGGUAAUUACUUUACCUGCGGCUGUCACAUCCACACCCUGCUCGAUAUCCCCUGGCCCAUUGGAUCUAUGGGCGGGUCGAACUACUGCAUAUCGCCGUUGGAGGUAAACGGUUCUUGGGUCGCCGGAGAUCUAACCAAAGGCAGCGUCAGUGACAAAACCACCAGCAGCAGCAUAUUCAGGCGGCCGGCGGCCGGCGACGGACACUGUUGUGGUCCUGGGCCAGCCGUAAAAUUUUUGGUAGCAUCCGACCAUUAAUGUAAUGUACAUGUAUUAAUACAAAAAUUAUUAUUUUCAAAAUAAAGAGACAUAAGAGAG